rnacentral:rRNA from 1 species
GGUACACGCUGUGACUAGCAUAUCAAUAAGCGGAGGAAAAGAGGGCUAUUACCUACGCUUAGGAUGUUGACACACGCGCGUGCUCGAUGCUAGUCUAUACAUGACUCUGUGCAUAUCAAUAAGCGGAGGAAAAGUCAAUGCUAUACCUACGCUUAGGAUGUUGACACACGCGCGUGCUCGACUCUAUACAUGACUCUGUGCAUAUCAAUAAGCGGAGGAAAAGUCAAUACCUACGCUUAGGAUGUUGACACACGCGCGUGCUCGACUCUAUACAUGACUCUGCGCAUAUCAAUAAGCGGAGGAAAAGAAACUAACAAGGAUUCCCCUAGUAACGGCGAGUGAAGCGGGAAGAGCUCAAAUUUGAAAUCUUAAAGGGUUUCCCUUUACGAAUUGUAGUUUAAAGAAGUGUUUUCUGUUGAGGUUUUGGUAAAAGUUCUUUGGAAUAGGACAUCAUAGAGGGUGAGAAUCCCGUAUUUGACCUUUACUUUCAACUUUGUGAUACACUUUCAAAGAGUCGGAUUGUUUGGGAAUGCAGUCCAAAAUGGGUGGUAAAUUUCAUCUAAAGCUAAAUAUUGGCGAGAGACCGAUAGCGAACAAGUACCGUGAGGGAAAGAUGAAAAGAACUUUGAAAAGAGAGUUAAACAGUACGUGAAAUUGUCAAAAGGGAAGCGUUUGACACCAGUGUUGUUUUUCUGAAAAUCAAUUAAAGAACUGUUUAUGCUAAGCUGUUUAGACUUUAUCAGCUAUCUGUUUAGUUUUGAGCUUUUCUUUAAUGCACUUUUCAGUUAACAAGUCAACAUCAAUUUCUUUUGCUGUAAAAAAGCUUGAGGAAGGUGGCUUGAGAUUCGUCUUAAGUGUUUAUAGCCUCUUGCCUAUGCAGUCGGAGAGAUUGAGGUCUGCAGCGUAGAUCCUUCGGGGCUAAAUGCAUUUGUGCUAAGUUAUAGCAUUUUAUAGACAACUUGUUGACUAUGAUUUGUCUUGUAGCUUACUCGCUUAUGUUAUUUUACCUACGCUUAGGAUGUUGAUCUACAGAGCGAGAGU